CUCAGAACUGCACAGCAAGCCUGGUAACAUCAAAUGCUCUAUAGACAAUGUUUCCUCACACUGAAUUUGGAAUAAUAAGACUCAUCCAUCUCAUCAGAAAAACAACUGAAGAAGAGACCACAGCCAGUUUUUUCUUCCGUUAUGGAAAGAACAGCAAGUGGGCCCUUCUGAGAGCUACUUCACAGCAGCAGAGCCAUACACUGCGGCUGUUCUCCACGACUAAAUGGCAAAGUCAGUAAAAUCAGCAGACAGAAUAUUCCCCGGUGGUCAGAACAUUAGGAAUUUCACAGGAAAAUAUUCCAAAAGUUUCCUUUUGGGACUAUAAUCUUGCUUCCAUCUCAGUUCCAAAAACUGAGUAAGCUCAGGUUCUGAGAAAAGCUGUUCAGAGAGACAACGUGAAAUGUACACCACACUUGUAUAUACAUGAAAGACUCUCUGCUCUCUUUCUCCUUCGUUACUCACACCCCAGAAGGCAGGUAGGCUGGUGGUGUCUCCAUUCCUCCGAAAAAAGGAGCAAAGCCACGAAAGCUCACAUUCAAGUUACUUUUCUUAGUAAAUUGCCAUCCAUUUUAAAAGCUCUGCUCACAAUGCUGCCUCCAGUCCACUUCAGCAAGUUUACGAUCAUCACUCUCACUGAAAGAGAAUUCCAAUCCAAAACCAACAG
rnacentral:lncRNA from 1 species